UCUAAAAAAAUUUCUGUCUUACCUCAUCGCCGCCGCACAGCCAAGAAUGAGGUACAUGUUGUCCGGCCCCGACAUGCUUAACAACGCCAGGAUGCAGGAUGCCUUGAUGAAGAAGCGGCGGGGCCGGCCACUGGGCAACGCCAAAGAAGCACAAGCCUUUCCCCUUCCAAGAAGUCUUGCUAGAGAAGGGAAGCAGUAACUCGAAGCCUCACCAUAAACCGUCCACACAUGCUGUGUACCUUCGAUAUUUAGUGGCUUUGUAUGGUAACUUCAUUUCCUGGUUUGUGUAAAUAAAAUUGUUAUGAAAAGCCAUCGGUUACUGGAAGACUUGGGAAUGUACAUUGCCUCGCGCAAUCUCAUCUCAUCAAAUGAAUGGCCCUUACUGGCACCAAGACCUUUAGGGUGCAGUGCUUUGCUUUA